GGGGGUGUUUUAGAUUCGAUUGGGCGAUGGAUUAAAGACGCAAGCAUACCGAAGUUCCGUCUUCGUAAAAACGGAAUUUAAAUUUAAAUGCUAACAAUAACGAAUUAGCAUACGCUGCUUAAUUUAAGCGUACGUCCUGCACUUUCUCACCCGAUGGAAAGUGUAAGGGCGUCAAUUAGUCGGGGAACUGCAAGAUAAGUUUGAUUUCGCUUGUUUUGUGGAUUUAAGAAAUCAAAGGGCAAACAAUGGUCGCCGAUGACCAAGUUUGCCACUAAAACUAACCGUCGGAUAAGUAUGUAGAAGGUUUUUUUGAAGCGUUCAAGACUGGGGUGCAAGUCCCCACAUCUCCACCA
rnacentral:tmRNA from 1 species